rnacentral:rRNA from 1 species
GAUGAACGCUGGCGGCGUGCUUAACACAUGCAAGUCGAACGGAAAGGCCCAAGCUUGCUUGGGUACUCGAGUGGCGAACGGGUGAGUAACACGUGGGUGAUCUGCCCCGCACUUCGGGAUAAGCCUGGGAAACUGGGUCUAAUACCGGAUAGGACCACUUCUUGGAGGUUGUGGUGGAAAGUUUUUUCGGUGUGGGAUGAGCUCGCGGCCUAUCAGCUUGUUGGUGGGGUAAUGGCCUACCAAGGCGUCGACGGGUAGCCGGCCUGAGAGGGUGUACGGCCACAUUGGGACUGAGAUACGGCCCAGACUCCUACGGGAGGCAGCAGUGGGGAAUAUUGCACAAUGGGCGCAAGCCUGAUGCAGCGACGCCGCGUGGGGGAUGACGGCCUUCGGGUUGUAAACUCCUUUCGCUAGGGACGAAGCGCAAGUGACAGUACCUAGAGAAGAAGCACCGGCUAACUACGUG